GAUGAGUGGAUCAAGAUGUAUCUUUCGUGCAGAUGUAUCAAGAUCCUUUCACUUAAGAUCCAUGCAGGCGCAAGCUUUGGAUGAACUUCUGCUUCUGCGGUCGGCAUUCUUACAGGAGAACCCAAGAUUCAUUGUACCUACCUGUAUGCAUUUCAAAACUGAAUAAUUGAUAGCAACAAGUAAAUAUUUGAAGUUGCAGCCAAAUGCUGUGCCUUCUCUGCUGCAAGAGCUACAUGUCACCAUUGAAGCAAGGACCAGCUCGACUCCUGCAGUAGGAGUCCAGCCUCGUCCAGUCGUCGCCGCUCGCCAAG